rnacentral:rRNA from 1 species
CGCUGGCGGCACGCCUAACACAUGCAAGUCGAACGCAGUAGCAAUACUGAGUGGCGAACGGGUGAGUAUAAUGUAGGUAUCUGCCUUUUGGUUUGGAAUAACACGAGGAAACUUGUGCUAAUACCGGAUAAGCCUUCACAGGGAAAGUUUUAACGCCAAAAGAUGAGCCUGCACUUGAUUAGCUAGUUGGUAAGGUAAUGGCUUACCAAGGCUACGAUCAAUAGCUGAUCUGAGAGGAUGAUCAGCCACAUUGGGACUGAGACACGGCCCAAACUCCUACGGGAGGCAGCAGUGGGGAAUCUUGCACAAUGGGGGAAACCCUGAUGCAGCGAUGCCGCGUGAGUGAAGAAGGCCUUUGGGUUGUAAAGCUCUUUCGUCGGGGAAGAAAAUGACUGUACCCGAAUAAGAAGGUCCGGCUAACUUCGUGCCAGCAGCCGCGGUAAUACGAAGGGACCUAGCGUAGUUCGGAAUUACUGGGCUUAAAGAGCUCGUAGGUGGUUAGAAAAGUUGGUGGUGAAAUCCCAAGGCUUAACCUUGGAACGGCCACCAAAACUUUUUGACUAGAGUAUGAUAGAGGAAAGUGGAAUUUCUAGUGUAGAGGUGAAAUUCGUAGAUAUUAGAAAGAACACCAAUUGCGAAGGCAACUUUCUGGAUCAUUACUGACGCUGAGGAGCGAAAGCAUGGGUAGCGAAGAGGAUUAGAUACCCUCGUAGUCCAUGCCGUAAACGAUGUGUGCUAGACGUUGGAAAUUUAUUUUUCAGUGUCGCAGCGAAAGCGUUAAGCACACCGCCUGGGGAGUACGACCGCAAGGUUAAAACUUAAAAUGAAAUUGACGGGA